rnacentral:rRNA from 1 species
GAUGAACGCUGGCGGCGUGCCUAAUACAUGCAAGUCGAGCGAACAGAUGAGGCGCUUGCUCCUCUGACGUUAGCGGCGGACGGGUGAGUAACACGUGGAUAACCUACCUAUAAGACUGGGAUAACUUCGGGAAACCGGAGCUAAUACCGGAUAAUAUCUUGAACCGCAUGGUUCAAUAGUGAAAGACGGUUUUGCUGUCACUUAUAGAUGGAUCCGCGCCGCAUUAGCUAGUUGGUAAGGUAACGGCUUACCAAGGCAACGCUGCGUAGCCGACCUGAGAGGGUUAGCGGCCACACUAGAACUGAGACACGGUCCAAACUCCUACGGGAGGCAGCAGUAGGGAAUCUUCCGCAAUGGGCGAAAGCCUGACGGAGCAACGCCGCGUGAGUGAUGAAGGUCUUCAGAUCGUAAAACUCUGUUAUUAGGGAAAAACAAAUGUGUAAGUAACUAUGGACGUCUUGACGGUACCUAAUCAGAAAGCCACGGCUAACUACGUG